CCCACUCUUCAAUCCAAUAACCAAAACAUACUAAAACAAAACAUUUACCCCUAUUAAAGUAUAGGAGAUAGAAAUUCUAAACAUGGCGCUAUAGAGAAAGUACCGUAAGGGAACGAUGAAAGAAAAUAAUCAAAGUACAAAAAAGCAAAGAUUAACCCUUGUACCUUUUGCAUAAUGAAUUAACGAGCAAAAAACUUAACAAAACGAAUUUCAGCUAAGUAACCCGAAACCAGACGAGCUACCUAUAGACAGUUUAUUAGAACCAACUCAUCUAUGUGGCAAAAUAGUGAGAAGAUCUAUAAGUAGAGGUGACAUGCCUAACGAGCCUGGUGAUAGCUGGUUGUCCAGAAAAUGAAUCUUAGUUCAGCUUUAAAGAUACCAAAAAAUAUAAACAAAUCUCACUGUAUCUUUAAAAGUUAGUCUAAAAAGGUACAGCCUUUUAGAAAUGGGUACAACCUUCA